rnacentral:rRNA from 1 species
GAUCCUGGCUCAGAUUGAACGCUGGCGGCAGGCCUAACACAUGCAAGUCGAACGGUAACAGGGAUCAGCUUGCUGAUUCGCUGACGAGUGGCGGACGGGUGAGUAAUGUCUGGGAAACUGCCUGAUGGAGGGGAUAACUACUGGAAACGGUAGCUAAUACCGCAUAACGUCGCAAGACCAAAGAGGGGGACCUUCGGGCCGUCUUGCCAUCGGAUGUGCCCAGAUGGAUUAG